rnacentral:ncRNA from 1 species
UACACCACAAAUAUUUCAUAUUAUCUAUUAAAACCAACCUUUAAUAAGAUUUUUCUACUCGAUACUAAGAAACCUAAGGUGACGAUAUACAAGGUAUUAGCUUACAAUUUAAUUUCUUUAUAUUUCGAAAGUCUUUAUAGUAAAAGAUAAGAAAAAUGUAGAGGUAUACCAGAACAGCUGUAAAUAACAGUAUUUUAAGAAGCUGAAUCAUCUAAUUUAUACGUCCGAAAUAGGAAAGGCGGGGAGAAAUUAUGCAUUUGAGGGUCGAUGAGGGUCGAUGCGGGUGACCCUCAAGGGACCCUUAGAGGGUCAGGGUCAGGGUCAGGGUCGGUAAGGUUGGACCCUGACCCUCUGAGGUGCGGGUGGAGGUUCCUAAUCUCGGACCCGCGGGGCGGGUGAGUGCCAGGUCUAGCGAAAGCAUUCGCCAAGGAUGUUUUUAUUAAUCAGAGAACGAAAGUUAGGGGAUCGAAGACGAUCAGAUACCGUUGUAGUCUUAACUAUAAACUAUACUGACUAGGGAUCGGACGGGAUUCUAUAAUGACCCGUUCGGCACCUUACGAGAAAUCAAAGUUUUUGGGUUCUGGGGGGAGUAUAGUCGCAAGGCUGAAACUUAAAGAAAUUGAUGAUUAAAUUUGUAACCCAAUUUAGGCCGACUGUUUGAACUGGGGUAGAUCCACGCCCCGCGAGUAAAAUAUUGGCUAUUUCUCGUACAGUCGUAUACCGGUGGGCUCCUCCGCGUGAAUCUAUU